AAAUUCUAUUUAUGAAUAUAUAACGUUGGGUUUCUGCUUCUUCCUGCUUUUCUAUUUCAUUUAGCAACCCAGUUUUUGUCACGAGGAACCCCUUUUAUUUUCAAUUCCUGGAUCUUCAGGCUCCUCACAGAUAGGACUAUGCGUGCAAUUCCAUCCAUUUGUGACAUGCGUGUUGUUUCUUAGUUGGGAAGGAUUCCGACGAGUCUGCACGAGGGCUGACAUUGAAUGGCUGUGCAAGCUUUUAGCUGAACCCUUGUAUAUCCUCUCCCAAAAUUUGCUCUUGCUUAAAAUGUGGUUGAUUGUUGAAACAGCAGCUACCUUUUUGCAUUGUCUGACAAUGUACAUCAUUCUUUCCAAGCAAAGACUAGGAACUAUAAUGGAUUGUGAUAAGCAGCAGCUAGCAUGUGUUUUCUGUUCACUCAUCUAUCCUCUCAAAAGCUAAUUCUUCAAAAAGAGGAAAAGAUUGUUCUUGUAUGGUUGGAUACCCCAAACAACCAGGCUGUAUAUGGACUUGUUCACAAGUUAGGGAGCUUAGUUGUGAGAUUGGUGAAUCUUCCAUUCAAGGAAAGUUCACAUGCUACAUUUUCCAGGUCUGCAUCAGGUUUAUUUCUCUCCUCAUUUGUUCUCUUAACAUUGUUCUGAUUUCAACAGAUUUGCUUAUGUUGUUUUGAUGGUUCUGGUCUCUUCAUGUGUUCUUUUGCAUUUUCUUGCUUUGUGGUUUCAUCAUUUUCGACAAAUUUGCUUAUGCUGUCUUGAUGGUACUGGUCUCUUCAUGUUUUAUUUUGCAUUUUAUUGCUUUGUGGUUUCAUCAUUUUUGUUAUGUAUUUGAAUCUAGCCUAUGCUUUUAGCUAGCACCGUAUCGUUUUUAGUUAAGAAACAUAGUUACAAACUUUGUUGAGGGCAGCAAGACAGGACCUGGAAAAAGAAAUUUUCCCAUCUUCUGUAUUAUUGUGCCAUUACACUUGCCUGCUAAUGCCACUACUACUACUAGCUUAUCUUGUGUGACCAGGCAUUUUCCCUGGAAUAGUGUGUGUGAUUAACUCCUUUGCUCGCCAGAAUGGUUAAGAAUUUGUAGAUUCUUUCCCUUUCUUUUCUUUUGGGCUGAAAGAUUUACAUUCGGAAUACAUGCAGUAAAUGCAUUUCAACAUCAAUUUGAAGUCACAAUAUUUCUGUUUACCUUCAUAAGUAGCUGAAUGCUUCUCCUCUCAUGACGGGACAAGAUCCAACAAAAGUAGGAAAUUGAUGACAUAUUCUUUAUUAAAUUGAAAUUCUCUGGUCACUGGUUUCUUGACUAUUCUGAGGAUAUGAUUUCGAGGGUUAUAUUCUCUGCAUUAUUCAUCAAACACUACUUCCAGGUAUGGAUUUGAGGCUUUAAGUCUUCCAUGUUUGUGGGCAUUUACAUGAGCCUUAUACUGGAUUUGUGUUUUUCUCUGUGCAGGAUUCUUCUGCAUUUUCUUUUACCAGCUGCUUACCUUCAGUUACCGCUGUGAGAGGCCUUUUAUCAACCAAAUUAUCCCUAACAAACAAGGGCCUUUGAAUGCAGCACAAAAAACACAAGGGCAAGGGAGGUAAGUUAAAUCUUGAUUCAGAGUGAAAGAGGAUGAAUUACUCUGUUGAAGUCCAUUUCAUGUUACAGUGGGAUUAUUAGUAGCAAGGCUUUAUAGCUGCAUUUGUUGAAUCUAAGCCAGAGCCAAACGAGUGAAAAGGUUCCUUCUCUUGCCAGAAUUACUCGAUACCCAACAAAGAACUACGGAUCACUUACUCCUCAAUUUGGGCUAGAACUUCACGCUUCAAUAACAGCGUUGCUAGUAGUGUUGUAUUUUCAAAACAAUAAUACACUGCAUUGUUUAGCUUACGAACUACAUUGCAAUUUUAUUUUGUAAUUUUUGUGUGGUAAUAAAGCUUUUCCUUUGUGUCAAAAA